rnacentral:rRNA from 1 species
UACGGAGGGAGCUAGCGUUGUUCGGAAUUACUGGGCGUAAAGCGCACGUAGGCGGCUAUUCAAGUCAGAGGUGAAAGCCCGGGGCUCAACCCCGGAACUGCCUUUGAAACUAGAUAGCUAGAAUCUUGGAGAGGUCAGUGGAAUUCCGAGUGUAGAGGUGAAAUUCGUAGAUAUUCGGAAGAACACCAGUGGCGAAGGCGACUGACUGGACAGGUAUUGACGCUGAGGUGCGAAAGCGUGGGGAGCAAACAGG